GCAAGUCGAACGGUAACAGAGAAGAGCUUGCCCUUUUUCUGACGAGUGGCGCACGGGUGCGUAACGCGUAUACAAUCUACCUUUUACAGGGGGAUAGCCUUUAGAAAUGAAGAAUAAUACCCCAUAGUAAGUAAUUUUCGCAUGGAUGUUACUUUAAAGUUUCGGCGGUAAAAGAUGAGUAUGCGUUCUAUUAGCUAGAUGGUGUGGUAACGGCACACCAUGGCAACGAUCGAUAGGGGCCCUGAGAGGGGUAUC
rnacentral:rRNA from 1 species